UACGGGGGGAGCAAGCGUUGUUCGGAUUUACUGGGCGUAAGGCGCAUGUAGGCGGCUGGACAAGUCGUGUGUUAAAGCCCCUGGCUCAACUGGGGGAGGUCAUGCGAGACUGUUCGACUUGAGGGCAACAGAGGCACGUGGAACUCCCGGUGUAGCGGUGGAAUGCGUAGAGAUCGGGAAGAACACCAGUGGCGAAGGCGGCAUCCUGGACCGGUAUUGACGCUGAGGAGCGAAAGCCAGGGGAGCAAACAGG
rnacentral:rRNA from 1 species